rnacentral:rRNA from 1 species
UACAGAGGGGGCAAGCGUUGUUCGGAAUUACUGGGCGUAAAGGGCGCGUAGGUGGCCUGCUAAGUCGAACGUGAAAUCCCCGAGCUCAACUCGGGAACUGCGUCCGAUACUGGCAGGCUUGAAUCCGGGAGAGGGAUGCGGAAUUCCAGGUGUAGCGGUGAAAUGCGUAGAUAUUGGGAGGAACACCAGUGGCGAAGGCGGCUCACUGGACCGGAACUGACGCUGAGGCGCGAAAGCGUGGGUAGCAAACAGG